rnacentral:rRNA from 1 species
CAUGAAGCUGGAAUCGCUAGUAAUCGCGAAUCAGAAUGUCGCGGUGAAUACGUUCCCGGGUCUUGUACACACCGCCCGUCACACCAUGGGAGUCGGAAAUGCCCGAAGUCAGUGACCCAACCGCAAGGAGGGAGCUGCCGAAGGCAGGUCCGGUAACUGGGGUGAAGUCGUAACAAGGUAGC